rnacentral:lncRNA from 1 species
UCCUCUCCUCUCCUCUCCUCUCCUCCCCUCUCCUCUCUCCCUUUCUUCUCCUACUCUUACGCCCUGCUCUGUCCUUCCAUUUCUGUUUCUCUCUCCCCCACUCUCCCUCUCCCCUACCUGGAGUAAACUUUGUUUAAUGUACCCUCCAUGGUUCAUGUUCCAUAGAUCACGUCUUUAAUUUAAGCAGAAAUCUAACAGCAGCAAUUUCAUAGGACAAACAAAAACAUUAUUAAAAAUCACCCACCCCUUUCUUCCGUAAGAGUGGAACGGGUCUGUAUUUACGGAUUUGCUUUCGUCAUUGCUUGCUUAAUUAUAUUGCAUGCUUGAAGAAGAUAUGCGCAUCGGUCGUGUCUUUUUUUGUUUCUUCACCAUUGGACCAGAGGUAUAAAAACUCCUGUUCGACUCAGGAGAGGUCUAAGUGCAGACGGGGUAGGGGCUGAAGAGAUGGCAAUGAGAAGGAGCGUGACUGGACCACAGAAAGAGGCAUGGAAAAACACACCCACGUUGUGGACCUGUCUCUACUUCCUUUUCUUCUCUUAGCCAGCCUUCCGUACUUCCCAGCAUACUUAGGAGGUGACAGAAGCCAUCACCCAACUCCUUAGUUACCACCUCACUUAAAGGACCGACUUAGGGAAAGACUCGCUGGGUCCCAGCUUCUAGGUGAUCAUUUCAAAUGGCUUUAGUGUUUCAUGCAGGCUCCAAUAAUCAAUCCUACUUGAGGGGGUAAGGCUGUACGACAACAACAUAGACCUCAGGAUCCCUUUCAGGCAGGUGGUACACCCUAGGGGUUGUAGUAAACUUGGCAUAGAUUUACAAAGAUGGUAGCCACACUCUAUUAAAAAAAAAUCGCUUUCAAAAGUCUAGAUUAAGCUUAGAAUGGAGGUAGGGAGCCAGGUGAAUGAGAGCAAAAUCCGAUGGGCCCAGGGAGGGAGGGAGGGCAAGGGCCCUGUGCCAUCAGGGAGCGAGUGGACUGCAAGCUUGUCUCCCUCCAUCAGAAUUUUAGGCUCUUAGUCCCAAGGGCCUAGAAAGGACAGCUAGUCCCAGGACUGUUUUCCUGGCUGCGUUUGGGCCUCUUGUGCCAAUGGAGGGAGAGAAGGAGAUGGCCUGGUGCCCAGGCUGUAGAGAGGAGCUGGCUGGCUCUGGAGUGAACUGGCAUUAUCCAGAUCUCUUGAGUCACAUGAAUCCUUUGACAGUGGGGGGUGGAGAGAGAGAGAGAGAGAGAGAGAGAGAGAGAGAGAGAGAGAGAGAGAGAGAGAGAGAGAGAGAGAUUUCAGGGGUAGAGUCUGCUGGAGAAUAAAUAUCCUAGAGAGUGAGUUGCCUACCAUGUGAGCUCAGAGAUGCUGGGGUCUGGUCCUGCCAUGGUUAAGAUAAUCAACAAGUUAUUGGCGCUCUUGGGGUCCUGGGUUAUAACAGUGAAUAAACAGCUUCUCCCUUAAGGAACAUAGAGGAGUUAAAGCAAUUAUAAAAGAUGAGGCAUUGGGGGUCACGGGGCAUGUAGAUGGGGUGCAAAAUCUUACGUAUCUGAGACAUCUUCAUAGAUGUUUCAUUAGUUAAUUAUUGAUUUUUCAAGACAGGGUUUCUCUGUGUACCUUUGGAGCCUGUCCUGGAACUCAUUCUGUAGACCAUGGCUUUGAACUCACAGAGAUUCCCCUGCCUCUGCCUCCCAAGUGCUGGGACUAAAGACAUACACCACCAUCGCCCAACUGGAUGUUUAUUUGUUUUUAAAAAUUAUUGAUUUUAUUUAUUUUUCGUGUGUAUAGGGGGGCAUGUGCCUGUACACUAGGGUGGACUGCACACAAUUUAUGUGAGUCGGUUCUCUCUCUCUACCCUGUGGGUCCCAAGAUCGAACUCAGGUUAUAAGGCUCAGCAGCAGAGACCUUUACCCACAGCCAUCUUGCCAGCCUAGUGAAAUCAGGCCCAAAUGAGGAAGCUUAAGUAGGGGACUGGGGGUCACAAUGGGGAGAAGUGUGGAGAAUGGUCUUACAGUGUUUAUAAAAGUUUUCAGAAGAAAAGAACUCAUCGUUGUCCACAAAUACAAACCAUCCCAAGCUUUGGAAUCCCUUUUUUGUUUUAUUUUGUUUUGAUUUUUAAGCCCCGUACCCAUUUCCUUAGAGGCUAGACUAGUUUUCACUCCCAGCAUCAUUGUGUGAGGCUUCCGUUUAUCUACAGCUGAGCCAGCCUCCCCGCCCCCAUCUUUUGUUCAGUCCGGUUUCUGUGGUCAAGGCUGUGCAGUCCACUCUCAAACGCUCGCACGCUUCCUCUCCCGGCUUCCCUAUGACCUGACUCAGGGACUUUUUUCCACACUGAAUCAUCAUGGCUGCCCACAUCUGUUGGGUAACCUCCAUUUGUUGUGUCUGGUCCGGUACUAAGAUUUUCCACACUUUAUCUCAGUCAGUCCUUAUUCUUCCCAGGCAGUCUGUGUGCCCAUAUUUGCCUGGAGGGAAUGGCCCUUCUGUUCAUCGCUCAGCUCCAUCGUCUUUCCUGUUUCUUUGUAGCAUUCCCUCGUCACUUUCUAUUACACCUGUCUGUGUUAUUUCUUUUUAGCGUUUGUGAUGCAAACAAUCCUGCUUGUUUCUUAAUUGUUGGUUUUGCUCUGGGGAAGUUUAUACUGGGCAAGUUUUAGAGCUCAUGCAUUGAGGAAGCUGGUGUUCAAAACCACUACACAUCUUAAAAUGGAUGCCCUUGUCUCCAAGACUCUUUCUCAUGGUGGUGUGAUCUUCCACUUGUCUGAUCUCACCAGGCUGAAGUGGGCUGGGUUCCCUUCUGCUGUGGCAUGUCACUUAACUGGUGCUUGUCCUUGUAUUUUGCUUUUGGCAUAGGGCAUGAGGUCCCUUCUCUGCUCUGUGUUAUAUAGCUCCUGACAUGGAGCUAGCUGUCAAAGGGGAGAUGCUACAAAACUGACAGUCACAUUUCUGUCUCUCAAACUGUUGCAGGAAUACUUUGUUUCUUACCACUUUGGGUUGUCCUUCUUAGACACCACUAUGGCACCAAUGACACACAGGAGCGUGGAUCACUUUGGCUUGCCCUCCUCAGGCAUCACUAUGGCACCAGUGACACACAGGACCGUGGAGAUUUGACCCCAAGGAGAAAGAUGCUGGAGGGAUUUUGUGGUCUGCUUCUCCUGGUCACUUUUUAAAGGGAAAUAUAAAGAUAAAAAGUCUUAUUCUACAGAAAUUCUCCAAAAAUGAAUUUUCAACAGAAUCAGGUGUAGAACUGGGUAAAAGUCCAACUUCUGCCCCAAUUCUGGGAAGAACGUGUCUAGUUCUGGCCCUUCUCAGAUUGUGUAUUUAUGGCAUAUAAAUAAAGAAGGAGCUGACAGACAGCAUCUGGGAAGACAGAAAGAAUCUCAGCCUCCAAAAACAAGUCUGAGGUAUGAUGUAUAAAACCCACCAGAAUGUUCUCCGUGUCUCUGACAUUUCAUGGCUAAUCCCAGCACUGCAGCAUUCAACAGUGCGACUUCAUUGAAUUAAGAGCAAUAUUUCUGCGUGAGUGUGAAUGCAUGCUUGGGGCACUGUGUCUCUUUGUCGGUCAGAAGAUAGUUUUUAGGAGCUGGUUCUUUCCUUCCACCACGGAGUUUUGAGGAUCGAACUUAGGUCCCCAGGCUUGGCAGCAGACGCCUUUAUCUCCUGAGGUCUUGCCAGUCCUCAUCACCAUACCCUAAAAACAUUGCCAAGCAAAGCCCAGCAUUGCUGACAGUCUCAGUGGGCACAGUUUGUCCUUCGUCUUACAAAUCCUUAACUUCACUGUCUUUUGCAAAGUCAGUCAGGAUGAUUUAAACGAGUCAUUAUUGAAAUAGAUUUCUAUAUUUAAGACUGUCUCUCACAUUUGAAACAUGAAAUCCUUUAAUAAGAGCAGAUUAAAAAUCCCAAGGAAAUCUGAUUCUGAAAUAGAGGCUCCUACAUUUCUUUCUUUCUUUCUUUCUUUCUUUCUUUCUUUCUUUCUUUCUUUCUUUCUUUUUCUCUUUAAAUGUGUAGCCCAGGAUGACCUGGAACUCAUGAUCCUCCUGCUGCUGUCUUCUUCAGCAAAUCCUAUCCUGAUUGUGCCACCACAACCUGCUUAUCUUUCUUUCCUGAUGGGGGAUGUCUUUCUGUAUAUAUGUUUCUCUUAUUGGUUGAUGAAUAAAAAAACACCGUUUGGCCAAUAGAGACAGGAAGACAGGCAGGACUAGGAGACGAGGAGAAUUCUGGGAAAGACAGGCAGAGAGCGACACCUCGAAGAGAUGCUAUGUAGCCAAGGUAGGUGUAACAGGUCUGGACCUGCCUCCGAUAAGAUAAAACCACGUGGAAAUACAUAGAUUAAUAGCAAUGGGUCAAUAAUUAAGACAGAGCUAGCCAAUAAGAAGCCCUAGCCAUAGGGCUUUAUAUAACAGUUUUUAUAAAUAAUAUAAGUCUUUGUGUGCUUCUUGGGGGCAAGGUGGCUGUGGGACCAGGCGGGACAAGAAAACUCCAGCAACACUUUCCUGCUAAGAGAAAUUUUUCUAAAGUAUAAUCUCAGAAGCCUGUUGUAUGCAGGGGCUGCAGUAAUGAAACUGCUGACAUGCUCUCCAUAAUAUGGUUAAUGUUUUUAUUGUAGGAGAGAGGGAGAGAGAGAGAGAGAGAGAGAGAGAGAGAGAGAGAGAGAGAGAGAGAGAGAGAGAAACAGCCAGAGGCAUCUGGAAGAGUCCAGAGCAGAGAGAGCAAGAAGUGGACUGAACACAGAAGACUGGACAUGACCAGGGCUAGGGAGUGGGAAAGAGGAGUGGCGAUAAUAAGAGAAAACAUAGUGACAGGAUAGGAAGGGAAAUGAGAGUCAGGGUAAGACAAAAUAGUGAGCUAGGUUAUAAGAAGGAUGAGUAGCGGGGCUGGAGAAAUAACUCAGAGGUUAAGAGCACUGGCUGCUCUUCCAGAGGUCCUGAGUUCAAUUCCCAGCAACCACAUGGUAGCUCACAACCAUCUGUAAUGAGAUCUGGUGCCCUCUUCUGAACUGCAGGCAUACAUGCAGACAGAAUGCUGUAUACAUAAUAAAUAAAUAAAUUAAAAAAAAAAAAAGGAUGAGUAUCUGUGGGUGGGAGAUACUCCCACCUGUGAGCUGCGGGGAGUUUAGGGUAGGGGAGGAGGCAAUAAGGGAUGCUAGCAUGGACUUUGACAUGUACAACAGGUACUCCUGAUCCUAAGGGGCCUGGAGGCAGCAUGGGCUUUGAUAGACACGGGGAGCCAUGUGUCCCUUCUGCCAGAGUUAAGGGAAAUGACUCCUCUUGGCAGAUGGGACUUUGUGUUUCACAAGUUCCUGAGGAAUGCUGGCUUUCAUCCAACUGCCAGAAAUCUUGCAGUCCAGUUUAAGUUCAUUUUUGAAUAUUUGGACCGGCUGUGAGACCUAACACCGAUCUGACCAGUAAACAGAGCAGGUAAUAUCACAGGCCUGGCAGACAAGGAAAUGCUAAAGACUAUUGGAACAAUGGACCCCAAAGAAACUGGAAUUUUCAUGAAUCUCAUGCUGGGGGAAAGGAAAAGGCCCCAGCCAGAGGGGGAACUUGUCUCCAGGAAAAGAAGCCACACAGCUCCAACUACGAGUCAGACACUCACAGGAUGAAUCUGAAGCCCAGAUAAGGUUGGGUCAAUGGUGAGUGGGACCACACCUUACGGGACUGCUCUCCAUUUAAACUUUGCUCACACUUCAGGUUGACUUGAGGGUUCAGUGGUUCCAAGAUGGCCACACUGAAUAAAUCUCUCUUUUCUGAUUUCUACUUUAACUUCUUUAAUUGGCUUAUUGAGGACUACACCUGACUUGGGGCACAAGUUGUCACCCCCAAGUUGGAUAACAAUAGCUUGGUUCUCUUUGCUAAAAUUCUGCUGGGAGUCACAGCCUGGAAUUCGUUAGGGGAGGAGUGUAAGAUGCUUGUUGCUGGGGUUUUCUUGUCUCGCCUGAGGUCCUGCCCUCCUCAGCUCCAAAUAAGCACACAGAUGCUAUAUUAAUUAUAAAAUUGUUGGCUGUUGGCUAGGACUUCUUAUUGGCUAGCUCUGUCUUAAUUAUUAACCCAUUUCUAUUAAUCUAUGUAUUUCCACAUGGUCUUGGCUUACCAGAGAAUGCCCGGACCUAUUACUCCUUUGGCAGCUACAUGGCAUCUCUUUCUGGUCUCUCUCUGCCUACUUUCCCAGAAUUCCACUCGUCUCCUAGUUCUGCCUAUCUUCCUGCCUCUAUUGGCCACAGUGCUUUAUUCAUCAGCCAAUAAGAGAAACACAUAUACAGAAGGACACCCCCCAUCGUCUGCUCCACACAGGGGCUGGAGAAGGCUUGCUUAGUCUUGGGCUGAGUACAGUACACCAGUACACUCCGUACACUCAAAAGGCUGGGUUACAAAGGCCGACUCUAGAGUCCGGUGAUCCUGUGAGCAAACUCCUUGAACUUCGGCCAGUCUCCUGGAAAUACUCUCUUUCAGCAAAGUGAGAGAAUGGCCAUCCUCUUCUUUAUAUCUGGGACUGUGGCUGAGAGUACACAUGUAAGAAACCUGGGCGCCUUAACUCAAUACAGUUUCAGGGUCUAGAUCAGGUUCAUUUUCUCUGCCAGCUAAAGAACGAAAAAGCAGAAAAACCUGGAAACGCAAAGGUAGCAGCAGAGAACUCUCAAACACCGUGGAGGGAGCCAGCAGUUGAAGGAAGGUAUUCACUGGGGGUGAGGAGACACACACACACACACACACACACACACACACACACACACACACACACACACAGAGGCAGCAGGCCCUCCACAGAGGGUGAACCAGGGAGCUGAAGAAUCUAAUCUCUUCUCCAGGCCUGGGGUUUAAAGCCUCUGAAGAGUUUUCCUCUCCUAACUUAGGGUUGGUCAAUUUGAAGAAAGCUGGAUGGUUGGUUGUUCCAGAACUGUUGAGUGACAUGUCCUGAUGGAGUCUUGAACUUGUUGAGUCAGUCCAUCAGCAGGGGCCUGCUGCUAGGAGGGAAAAGCCUCCGGGGCUUUUGUCUCAAGUCAGGAGGUUGAAGAAGCUGGCCAUAUUGGAAAUCCGCCAUCUUUAUUACCUAGCCAUGGUCCCUCUCCCUGUCUGUCUGCCUGCAAGGGAGUCUGCCUAUCUCCUAAGUGUUUAGCAUCUAGAAAAUUCACUUACUUUUGUUAAGACAAAUAACACAAUAUAGAACAGAGAAACAAAGCCAGGAGGGCUUUUAAGGUGAAACACAAAUUCUGAGAAGUCGUUGGUGGCAGGACACUGGGGUUCUGCCUCCAUCAGCGUGAGAGAAACAGCAACACAACAGGGGUGGCUGAAGAAGAAAGUAUCCAUCCCAAGGGGACCAAUGAGUCAGUAUGGCCAGAGAGAAGGCAGGGAACGUCCCGUGAGGGACGCUAAGGGACAGGGAGUUAAUGGAGUGACAAGAUGCCUUAGUUCCUCAUAGCUCAAAGCUAUCAACUAUUCAGUUGUCCACCCAACCCCCCCUCCCAACUGCUGGUUUCUACUGAAACGAACCAAUCAGAGCUCCUGGAAGCCAGCGUAUCUCCUUUGACUUGAACAUUCUUUUGGCUCUUGAUUGAUGUAUUUAAAACCUUUUAUGUUUUCUUUUACUUUAAAAAAAUGUAGUAAAUAUAGAGUUAACAUGCAGCAAAGUUUAAGAUAAGAAAGGAGAAGGGUCCAUAUUUGUGUUAACACACAUAUAGACUUAAAUAACAUACCAUAAUAUGCAUUAUUAAGACACUGCUGCACACAACUUCUUGCCCAGAGCGGAUGUCUUGAAGCAGGUCUGACCGCGUCUUCAUUGAUGCCAUCUGGGCUCUUUGCAGUUUUCUGAGGUUUCCCAUCUCCCCAUGGGAGCCUAUUUUCCCACAUGGCCUUGAGCACAAGUACACCCUGCCCGCCGUCCCUGCAGAGCGGAGUUGGGGUGGGAAGAUUUGCAUCUGAACUUUUCAGGGCGGCUUCUAGUUGACGCUUCAAGAGGAUAAGUAAGUCAUUUGUACUCAAAGCAACAGUGACUAACUCUCCGCCGUCUCACUGUUUCCCAGAAGCGAUGGUACUCUAGGAAGACGUUUAUAAACCGAAACGUUUUGAGGCCAGGCAUGUGGCAUGGUCAGUGAAGUGCUGGCUGCACCAGCUCGAGGACCUGAGUUUGGGCCCCAACUGCACACUUAAAAAGCAGGGUGUGGUGGCAUGUUAGUGAACACCAGCAUUGGGUGGGGCAGAAAGGUAAAACAGCAGGGUUUUAUUGGCCGUAUCCUGGUGAGAGAUUUUGUCUCAAAACCAAAAACAAACAAACCAAAAAAAACAAGACAAAACAAAAAAAAACAAAACCAAAACCAGGGUGGAUGGGGAGAGAUGGCUCAGCCGCUGAGCGCACUUGGUAGCCUUGCAGAGGACCUCAGUUUGGCUUCCAGCACCUUCAUCACGCGUACCCACAGUUUGAAACCGCCUGUAAUUUCAGUUUCAGGAGGCCAGAGUCUGUCUUUUACCUUAGGGCUGCACACACAGUGUGCAUCCAUGCACUCAGGCAUGUACAGAAGACAAAUAAAUAGAUGAAUAAAUAAAGAUUAAGGACCUAGGAUGGUGAGUGAUAGAGCAAGAUGCUGACCCCUGGCUUUACACAUGUGGAUAUGCAUGCAAACACACACCGCACAUGGCUUUACACACGUGAACAUACAUACAAACACACACCGCACAUGGCUUUACACACGUGAACAUACAUACAAACACACACCGCACAUGGCUUUACACAUGUGGACACACAUACAAACACAUACACUGUACAUGGCUUUACACACGUGGACACACAUGCAAACACAUACACUACACAUGGCUUUACACACGUGGACAUGCAUGCAAACACACACUGUACAUGGCCUUACACAUGUGGACACACAUGCAAACACAUACACUGUACAUGGCUUUACACACGUGGACAUGCAUACAAACACACACUGCACAUGGCUUUACACAUGUGGCUAUGCAUGCAAACACAUACACUACACAUGGCUUUACACACAUGGACACACAUACAAACACACACACUGCACAUGGCUUUACACAUGUGGACAUGCAUACAAGCACACACACUGCACAUGGCUUUACACACAUGGACACACAUGCAAACACAUACACUGCACAUGGCUUUACACAUGUGGACAUGCAUGCAAACACAUACACUACACAUGGCUUUACACAUGUGGAUAUGCAUGCAAACACACACUGCACAUAGCUUUACACACGUGGACACACAUGCAAACACAUACACUGUACAUGGCUUUACACACGUGGACAUGCAUACAAACACACACUGCACAUGGCUUUACACAUGUGACACGCAUACAAACACACUGCACAUGGCUUUACACACGUGGACACACAUACAAACACACACACUACACAUGGCUUUACACACGUGGACAUGCAUACAAACACACAUACACUGCACAUGGCUUUACACACGUGGACACACAUGCAAACACAUACACUGCACAUGGCUUUACACAUGUGGACACACAUACAAACACACACACUACACAUGGCUUUACACACGUGGACAUGCAUACAAACACACAUACACUGCACAUGGCUUUACACACGUGGACACACAUGCAAACACAUACACUACACAUGGCUUUACACAUGUGGACACACAUACAAACACACACACUGCACAUGGCUUUACACACAUGGACAUGCAUACAAACACACUGCACAUGGCUUUACACAUGUGGACAUGCAUACAAACAUACACACUGCACAUGGCUUUACACAUGUGGACACGCAUGCAGACACAUACAACAUACACACGCCAUUCUGUUUUCAGGGAAGGAGACUGGCACAUUGAAAAGUUUCUAAGAGCUAUACAAAUAAUAACCAAGGAUCACAUUAGGUGACGACACAGAUGGACUAGUUGAAAAAAUAAGCCUUAGUCACACAUAAGAGUGUUGAAGCUGUGGUGGCGCACGCCUUUAAUCCCAGCACUCAGGAGGCAGAGGCAGGCGGAUCUUUGUGAGUUUGAGGCCAGCGUGGUCUACAGAGUGAGUUCCAGGACAGUCAGGGCUACACAGAGAAGCCCUGUCUUGAGGUGCUGGUGGGGAAGAAUGUUGAAGGUUUUGGAGCAAUUCAUUUUAACAGUCACAGUGGAGAAGCAAGCAAUCGAGCAGAAGUUGAGGGCUGGCACUUAGUUGGAAACAGUUAAGAGUCAUAUCUCAGCCUGGAAAGACGGCUCAGCCAGUAAAUGCACCUGUCACCAAGUGCGACAACCUGAGUUCAAUCACCAGCAUCCCCACAGUGGAAGGAGAGGUCUGAUUCUCACAGGUUGUCUUCUGACCUCCACAUAUCGGGCUGUGGCUUGUGUGUGCCCCCCCCCCACACACAAAACAAGUAAGCAGAUGCAGUAAAAAGGUCAAGCGAACCGCGUCUUCCUUGUCUCAUAGAAUGGAUCUGUGUGAGAACAGUAGAGUUUUGGGCCAGAGAGUUUAGCUUCUCCGUGUCUCAGAUUCUGCGUAGGACCUUGUAGAUGUUAGAGGAAACCCUGAGUUUAAUCCAGCCCUUGGCAAGAGAGAAACCUUUACUGUUGUAAAGCUCGUUAUCGGGGCAAUUAACACCAGCAGUACAACCCAGAACCAGCUGGAGCAGAACUGACGAUGAGCUGAAUUUGGCCCGGUAACUGCUCAAUGAUGGGCAGUUAAAUUGCACGAGAUUUGUCCUAACGUUUAUUACAUCGUCUCGAGAAGAAAGCGGCGUUAGUCAAAAGGCUGCAUUGUUUCCCGAGUGAAGAGCAACUCUAUAUUUGGUUAGAAAAUGCAUGAAUUUAGUGUGGGACCCCCAUUCCCACUUCUCUCAGAGCUCCACACCCUGGAUCUGUUAAGGAACCCACCUGCGGCUUGUAUUCAGCAUCCAGACAGAUUCCAGAUGGAGACAGUGGGUUCGGGCAGAUGAAGGGUGGUUAUGUCAGGCUCUUCAGGUGGUGGGUGGGCCAAACACAUCCAAAACAUCCUCCUUGCAAAUACUAUGAAUGAGGGGCUGGAGAGAUGGCUCAGCAGUUUAGAGCGCUUCCUGCUCUCUCAAAAAACUGGAGAGCUGGAGUUCAAUCCCAUUGUCCAUGUAUGUGGCUUGCAACUUCCUGUAACGCUAACUCCAGGGGAUUUGAUGCCCUGUUCUGGCCUCCAGUAUCACCAACAUAUGGACACACACACACACACACACACACACACACACACACACACACACACACACACACACACACCCCUAAAUAAAAGUACUAUAAAUCAUAAAAAAUACUAAGUACUAUGAGUGAGUUUGUGACAUCUGUCCAGUUAGCACACCUGCCUGAGAGAGGAGGCCAGUAGAAGAAUCGUCCAAGGGUUAGUCUGUGCAGAGUGGUGAGAGUGUGAGGUGAGAGGGGGGUGGUCAAUGGGGGAAACGUCUGUGUCCAGGAGCGGGGACAGCCCCAGUCCUACUCUCACUGGAGGCAGAAGGAGGCAAGGAAAAGACACAAAUAUUGAAAUAGAAAGGGAGGAGUCUUUAGGCCCCAGGUCAGCUAAGACUUCCGAGAAUCCAAAGCCAAAAUCCGGUACUUUGGUGCAUGUUGGUGCUGUUCACCGAUUCCAAGUUUUUAAACAAUCAUUUCUUUUAUUUUUUUGGGAUUAUAAUAUAAUGACAUUGUUUUCCCCUGAUUUUAAUUUUUGUUCUUUCAUUUUGCUUUUCUAUUUCUUUUUUCCUUUAUCAAGAAGGUGAUUUUGUACUCGGGAGGUAGAGGUAGAUGGAUCUUUGGGUUUGAGGCCAUCUUGGUCUACAUAGUGAGUUCCAGGACAGCCAGGUCUACACAGAGAAACCCUGUCUCAAAAAAACCAAAAACCAAAAAACAAACAACAACAAAAAAACCAAACAAUAAAAAAACAAAAAACAAACAACAACACAACAAAAAACAAACAAUAGCCGGGCGGUGGUGGCACACUCCUUUAAUUCCAGGGAUAGGCAGGUGGAUCUCUGUGAGUUCGAGGCCAGCCUGGUCUACAGAAUGAGUUCCAGGAUAGGCUCCAAAGCUACAUAGAGAAACCCUGUCUCGAAAAACCAAAACCAAACCAAACAAAAACCCAAACAAACAAACAACCUGUAAUGAGGAGGUUCUUUGUCCUGGCUGGGUCCCGCCGCCCUUCAACCCCAAAUGAACACACACAUGCUAUAUUAGUUAUAAAACUGUUGGUCAGUGGCUUGGGCUUCUUAUAGGCUAGCUCUGUCUUAAUUAUUAACCCAUUUCUAUUAAUCUAUGUAUUUCCACGUGGUCCUGGCUUACCAGAGAACGCCCCGCAUUCCUCUCUUCCUGGUCUCACAUGGUGUCUGUUUCUGCCUACCUUUCCCAGAAUUCAAUUCCUGCUCUAUUGGCCAACAGUGUAUUUUAUUCAUCAGCCAAUAAGAGAAACAUAUAUAAAGAAGGUCUUCCCCCAUCACCAACCCCAACAAGACAAAACAACACAACAACACCAAACAUAAAGAAGGAACAAAAAAGGGUGAUCUGGACUCAUUGUAGAAAAUUAUAGACAAGAACUCAGGAGGAAAAAUGCCAUAACCUCAUCAGGGCAAGACAGCCUCUCUGAAGAGUGUGAUGGUUUCUCCUAAUGCACACAUUUCCUUUAUCUGAGACCAAGCUUAGCACUGUGUACAUGGUUUUCCACGUAGCUUGUCUUACAUCAUCACACGUCCUCAUAGCUGUUUUGUGAGUGCCGUUUUAAUACCUGCCUAAUAUUCUGUUGCAUUGCUGAGACGUUUCACCCAGCCAUAUCUUAUUUUUAGACAUUUAAGUUACUUCCAUUUUUUCCUGCUUAUCAGUAACAUCAGCCUGGUUAUUUAUAUACAUAAAUCUGUUUCUGAUUGCUUGGAAAUGGAAUUACUGGGUCAAAGGGCACACCAGUGGGAUAUUCAGAAAACGAUACCCGUUUCUGUUCUCAGCUGGUUCCUAUAAAGCCUGGGAACUGAACAGGCGCCAUUUUUGUGUCUUCCCGGAUCCUCCGCCUCUGCUUCAUCUGCCCUGCCACCACGACUCAGAACCUGCCCUUCUUUUUCUCCUGAGCUCCCUCCCACUGGGAGUUGAGCUGGAGUCAUGUCAGCGUAUUAAGAAAUGUUCGAGUUAUAGCUUAUUGCCCAUGGGAUGUCGGGUAUUGCGGAUUUCCCACAUGCAGACAGGGAGGGAGGGCACUGUGUCUCCUUCUCUUCCCUCACUCUCCCUACUCCCAAAGGGGAGAAAGGCUCCCCUACCCUCACCCCACCCCCUCUUCUCUCUUCCUUUCAUCCUGUUCUCAUUUGUUUUCCACACCACACCGGGUACCCUGCUAGGUGCUGGGAUUCUGAGACAGCUAGGCCAGGUACCAUCAGUUGGGGUUCUCGGUUCUAACCCCCCCCCAAAGCUGACUAUAGUUGAACUUAUUCGUAAGAGGAUACUGGCCAUUUCCCAGAAUUGAUGGAAAGCUGGAGAACCCAGUGGGGCAACCAGAAGGCCAGGCUGCAGGGAACACAGCCCUGGACAUCCUCAGGAGUGGUCUUCUGGUUAGGACUCGCUGGCAGUGCCUCAGAUAGCGAUGAGCUGGAGCCGAAGCCUGGAUGAGUGCUAAAUGAACCUGCUUCUUGGUGUUCUUCAGCUUUCAAGUUUGGGAUGGAAGCUGUGAUUGAGUAGGGCCACAUCACUUGCUCAUGACUGCAUGGGGUGGUGUUACGGACUGUCAUGGCUUCCCCUGCACCCCACCACCUCCCACUCACUGCAGGAUUUCUCUUUAAAUAAGACGGGAAUAUUUAUCCGGGUGGUGGUGGCACAUGCCUUUAAUUCCAGCCUGGUCUACAGGCUCCAAAUCCACAGAGAAACUCUGUCUCAAAAAACAAACAACAAACAAACAAACACACAAACAAAAAAACAAAAUAAAAUAAAAUAAAAAAUAAAAAAGGAAUAUUUAGAUUUGUGGGGUUCCCUUCUCCUCCACAUGGCUUAACAUCAGUACGGCAGGUCCCUUUGUUUCAUGAUUUAUUGGUUGAAGAAACAGAUGACUAUAGUGUGGGAAGGAUGACUGCCCAACAUGUCAUGUUCCAGGUGAGGAAAAGACACAGAACAGGUGACAGGGAUGAGAAAGAAAGAUUUGGAGACAUCUUGAAAAUAGGAGGCAGUGGAGAACCCUGGGCAUCUCGAGACGUUACCCACAUCUCAGGACCGACAUGGAAAUGGGUGUCGAGAUUUUUACAGCCCAGAUGUGGCUUUGAAUUCUGUUGUGAAGACGAAGUGAAAUGAUGCAUGUUACAUACUGAAAACAAAACGAUGCGUGUACGAUGCUAAAAACAAGAGGCUUCCUGCCCUAAGUCAAGAACAGAAUGCCAACCAGGCUGAACUUCGUCAUCACCAGGGCCUUCAAGUUUCCAUUGCCUCUCAAGAGUUCAGUUCCAACACAGCAACACCGUAACCACCACCAACCAGGGCCAGACAACAUUUAUGGCUUUACUCAAAGCCACUAUAGUCAUUUUUAAAUUGAUUUUUCAUAAAGCAAAUCACAUUCUUAAAAUACUUGUGAACUUCACCUUUGGUCUCUGAGAACUUUGUUUUUCAUUUACACAGGGAUGUAUUUUAUUUUGAUAAAAUCCGUUCCUUACUUCUCUGUUCCAACUCUUGUCCCUCUCCUCAUAUCUUACUCAAUGUCAUUUGUCUGUCUGUCUAUCUAUCUAUCUAUCUAU